rnacentral:lncRNA from 1 species
GUCCAACUUGGCAUUUCUUGGCUGUAUCUCUGAAGGAAAGUCAUCUUAAUCUCUAUGAGCCUCCAUUUCCUCAGCUGUAAAAUGGGAAGAUCUUCCUCACACUGCUGUGUUUGAAACCGUCCCCUACUGCCCCGCGGGGACGUCAAGACAACUUACUGUGACUCAUUCCUAUCUCCCCAGUUUGAUCCUGAGCACUUUGCCUUACCCCUUUCUGCUUCGUUCCAAACAGCCGGCACUGUGUGCUUCAUAGAACAUUUGUGAGCUCUGCAGACAUUCUGUCAUCAUCGGCCCCUCCUCUGCCCCUAACCAACUUGCUACCUUCCCUUGCAGAGCCCUGCCUCUGAAUAGAGUGUGAAUGUCUGCCCUGCCAGCCUGUGAGCUCCUCCAGGGAAAGAAUGUGUGUCUACCUUCCAAGCCUGACAAGCAGUGGGUGCCCAUGUGUGCGGAGUGAACUCAGUCACUUUUCUCCUAGACGGCGUCACCUUUCUCACAUUUAGGGAAAAUCAAGUGUAAGGGAAUGAGUUACUUAUUCUCGUAGAAGAAUGGGAAGAGUGAGAAGAAAGUUGGGGGUGAAGCAGGACUCACACAAAGGCAAGGCUGGCCUCUUCCCGCAGGGGCUGGGUCCCCCUGGGCCUCUUGCCAGGACACUGUUCUCGGUGGGUGCUCCACCAAGACGCAGGUAACUGGCCGGCACCCAACAGGCUUCAGUCUUGGCUCCCACACAGCUUGAUGCUCCUUUCGGGGUAUAACUGAUGCCAACCACCCAGGGCCACUGCCAGGAGUCCACUGUGUACUCAGACUGUGCUUGGCCCAUUCGCAGCAGUGCCACAGGGCCACAGGCGCAGAGCUCUGGCUGGGAGUCACUGCCAAUUUACAGUUUGCCCUCAGGUGUGUGGAGGCAAAGCCCUAUGAAAGAUUAGCUUUGCGCUCCGGAGGAGAGGGCGCAUGGCAGGUGAUCUGCCCACCAUGGCUUAUUUGUGGCUUCAUCACUGUGAUGACACUAUGUUUGGCAUUUACUCAUUAUUGUUAUCCAGACCCCACGUUAUCAAGAAAAGUACAGGAAAUCUGCCGUUGGGAGAGCGGCAGCACCCAUGUGGAGUGCCACUUUCUGAUCUGGGACUUAAACAACAUUGCUGUUUUCCUCCUUGCUCCAAGUCAUCCAUUUUGACAAUUUUAUAUCAGCAUGGACCCUUCACCAAGACUGAAAUAACUCUGUUAUUGAGGUGGGAAUCUUACAUUUAGUGAGUGCCUGCUGUGUGUCAUCCAUUGUGACAGUGUUGGGAACACGGAGAUGAAUAAAACAAGGCCCCUGUCCUGGGAGAGCCGAGAGGCCACCUGUCAGCUGACAUCUUAGGGAGGACACCAUCUACAUCCAACCCUGACUACUGAACACUUCCAGUUUCUUGGAAGAAAGAUUUUAAAAUCUUCAGAAAUGAGAACUCCUCCAAAUAGGAUUUUCAUUUGUUUCAUAUAUUUUAAAAUUUUAUAUUUUAAUAUGUAACAGUCAUAUGGUUUAAAUAUAAAAAUGACAUCAGUGGCUCAGUAAGAAAGUCGAGCAGGCACUCCGGAGACUAGAUUCUCAUCCAAAUCUUUCCUACAAACCAUGACGUAACAUUGGGCAAAAUGGUCAUGAUUUUCCUUAUCUAUAAAAUAGAGAGGAGAGGAGGUCUCUCUUAGCUGUGCAAAUCCUGGCCUCUGUCUCCUUCUUUCCCUGACUUCUUCUAGCUCCUGUCUCCUCAGCCCUCCCGACUUGUAGCUAAGCCCUGGCUUUGUAUUAACCACCCUCCUGCUGUCAGCAUCGCUGAGAGGCAUAGCCAAGGCCUGCCCUCUUCCUCCUCCCUGGCUCCAAAAUGCUCCAUGCACUGUCCCAUGCCACUCUGAUCCUGAGCAGCCAAGUGGGCAGAAUGACACUCCUUUGGGCGUGGAAGUGAACAUCAGCCAUGAGUAGGGAGAGGAAACUGCCCACAGAGAGGAAAUGGCAGCCUAACUCCAGGCAGGGCCCGGGCUCAGAAGGGGGUCUACAGGGCUGAAGAGGCAGCUGGCCAGAGAUUCCACAGGAAGCAUCUUGUUGACACAUCUUCAUCACUUUGGAAUUUGAGCAACAACAUUUACCCCUUCUGAAACUCACCCAGAGGAAGCGGAUUUUCUGACGCAUAUGAAGAGUGAGAACUGUCUACAUCUAAGUCUUCUUUGAGAACAAUACCAGCUGAGCGGCUAUUUACAUUCCAGCUUCUUUUGAGAAUCUCUGAAGAUGAUUAAGUCAUUGUCAGCUGGCCCAGAACCAUAUCCUGCUCCACAAGCCUCGUCCUUGGCAAGAAGUUGCACCUGCCCAGAGAGAAAACCUUUUGAAACUGGCACAAAGGCACUGGAGAGACUGGCAGGGCCCCCUACUUGACGAUCUGGCUCAUCCAUCUGCACACUGACCACGCUAAGAGCUGUCUGCAGUGAUGGAAACCUUCUCUAGCUGUGCUGUCCUCUAUAGUGGCACCAGCUGCCUGUGGCUACUGAGCACUUCAACUGUGGCUGCAGAGACUAUGUUAAAUUGUAUUUAAUCAUAAUUAAUUUAAUUGUAAACAACUACAUGUGGCUAGUGGUUUCUGUACUGGGCACUGCAGGUGCACAUUUCCUGCUGGCCAUGGACAGUAAGCUCCAUAAGAGACUAAUUGACCUGCACCAGCCUAGAAUAUGAUUGGCACUCUAUUAAUUAAAAGUUCCCAGGUAAAUGAAUUAGUGGAUUCUCUGUUUCCUCCACUAUGCCACAACCUCCUUAAGGGCAGAGAUGGUGUCUUCAAAAAAAAAAAAUUCUGGUCAAAAACACAUAAGAUCUACCACCUUCACCAUUGUUGUGUCCAGUUCAGUAGUAUUAACUACACUUACAUUGUGA